CAUGAAGCUGGAAUCGCUAGUAAUCGCGAAUCAGAAUGUCGCGGUGAAUACGUUCCCGGGUCUUGUACACACCGCCCGUCACACCAUGGGAGGUCGGAAAUGCCCGAAGUCAGUGACCUAACCGAAAGGGAGGAGCUGCCGAAGGUGGAGCCGGUAACUGGGGUGAAGUCGUAACAAGGUAAC
rnacentral:rRNA from 1 species